AUGUCUGCCAUACGGAGGCUGCUGGCAGCAAAGGGAGAUGAACAAGCCAAGGUUGCCCGGCCUGCACGCUGGCCCAGGGCUGCUGCUGUGUCUUGCCAUCAACCCUCCCGACACCCAGCAUGCCUGCCUCGUCCAGAAGCACUCCUACGUCAGGCCUCUGAGGGGGAGCGCUUCAUGCCACUUUAUCAAAAGGGGAAACCAUCAAAGCAGAAAGGCCAAUGCCACACUAGACAGCCAGGAGCCCAGUAGAACAAGUGGCCCCGAAAGGCGCUUUGGGGACCACACCCCGCUACUGACCCCAGCACAGUCUGGUUCCCAGGGCUUCAGGAUCCUCCUGGGGACCUCUCAGCAUGA
rnacentral:lncRNA from 1 species